AAACAAGGCAGUCACCUACGGCGCCAAGUGGGGAGAGGUGCUAAUGACCCAGGACUGAUGUCUGAAUAAUGAAUUUCGGAUCAGGGUGUUGCUCUCUACAAGUCCUAGACCAUCUCAUGAGGAAGCUGGGGGAGAAUCAAGAGAGCCUUUUUGUUUUCUUAUGGUGCAUCUGAUCUUGUCCUGCUUCCAAGUGGGUGCCCUCAAGGAACAACAAGGUAUACUUGGGAAAGCACAGCAAGACUGGAGGUGCAGGACCUUGGAGAGCUCAAAGUGAGCACCUUGCUCCAAUAGGAUCCAGAGUUCAACCAAGGCCUCCAAUGACCUGAGGACUAGAUUCCUUCCCCCAAGCUCCACCCACUGUUUAGAGAGCAGAUACUUCUGGCAAGCUCACAAUCGGAGCACGAAGGCAACAGACCAUUAUGUUCAUCAAGCCUUUUAUGGAAAUGUAUACUGAAGCUAA